rnacentral:tRNA from 2 species
GCGAUGAUGGUUUAAGGGUAAAAUCCAGGCUUCCCAUGCCUGGGCUCCGGGUUCGAGUCCCGGUCAUCGCA